AGGUGAUGCGGCCAGGAGCCCAGAAAUGGCAGCAGGCACCGAGGCUGUGAGACGUGAGGGGCAGAUUCUCCUGGAGCCCCCAGGAAGAGCCAGCCUUGCCGGUGCCUGGAUUUCAGCCCCGCAGGACUAAUUUUGGGUUUCUCUCUUCCAGAAUUGUAAGAGAAUAUGUUUUGGAGGUUUUAAGCCACCACGUCUGGAGUAAUUUGUUAUAACAGCCAGAAACUGACCUCCCGGGCGUCAGGGUGCGAUCCGGCUUCUCCUUCCCUCCCUUCCUUCCUUCCUUCUCCUGCCAAAGUCAAUGCCAUAUGUACUUGUUUUGUUGUUGAGUUUCUGUUUCUCUUUUUCUUUAUUUGUACAGCAGCCCUGAACUUCAAGGCCAUAAUCUCUAUAGUCAGUCCGAGUAAGGACACGGAUACACAGAUCCAUCGGCCGGUCCCAGGUCUGAAGAGCUUUAACACACAAAGAACACACUUCCGACCAUGUUGGAUCACUGCAGGGGGAUGUCGUCCACCCCUGGCUGGUCAUCCCGAGGGCCAACCUUCUUCCCACGCAGCCCGGGCUCCUCGCCAUCCCUGGAGUUCUCAGGGCUCGGCCAGCGGAUGGAAAGAGAACGAGCUGAAAGCUCCUGGUCAGAGAGAUGAUUUGAGAGGCUCUAGCGGGGCCACAGCCUCCAGAAUGUGUCCCUUCUAUGUGAACUGCUGUGCCUGAAAUCAUACCAUGACUCAGACAGCUCUCCCUGAAAAUGCACCGAUCUCUGGAAGCAGCUUUCCUUAGAGCCGAGAGCAGUGUGUGUGCGGGGAGAAACAGAGCUUUCUGGGAUCAAAACUUAGCGCAGAAUGAAGCCAGUUCAAGGUCCAGCCAGACAAAGUUCUCGGUAAACGUCUGUCACAGGGUAAACAGCACAGGGAGGUGAGAGGAGUGGACCAGUCCCUUCCAGCACAGAGGAUGCUGGUACCUGCGUUUGCAAUGCCUAUUCUCCGGGCAGGGAGAGAAGCAUCCACCGCUUCCCCACACACUGUCCAGCAGGCAGGGCCCGUAGGCCUCCCUGGCUCAGUGGAGCAGCCUGGGGCUUCCGUCCACCAGGCCGGGAAACCAUCCUUCCACAGGCUGUGGCCUGGUAGGAGGGGCCUGUUGGAG
rnacentral:lncRNA from 1 species